CCAGGAGCUUGCUCCUCUGACGUUAGCGGCGGACGGGUGAGUAACACGUGGAUAACCUACCUAUAAGACUGGGAUAACUUCGGGAAACCGGAGCUAAUACCGGAUAAUAUAUUGAACCGCAUGGUUCAAUAGUGAAAGACGGUUUUGCUGUCACUUAUAGAUGGAUCCGCGCCGCAUUAGCUAGUUGGUAAGGUAACGGCUUACCAAGGCAACGAUGCGUAGCCGACCUGAGAGGGUGAUCGGCCACACUGGAACUGAGACACGGUCCAGACUCCUACGGGAGGCAGCAGUAGGGAAUCUUCCGCAAUGGGCGAAAGCCUGACGGAGCAACGCCGCGUGAGUGAUGAAGGUCUUCGGAUCGUAAAACUCUGUUAUUAGGGAAGAACAAAUGUGUAAGUAACUAUGCACGUCUUGACGGUACCUAAUCAGAAAGCCACGGCUAACUACGUGCCAGCAGCCGCGGUAAUACGUAGGUGGCAAGCGUUAUCCGGAAUUAUUGGGCGUAAAGCGCGCGUAGGCGGUUUUUUAAGUCUGAUGUGAAAGCCCACGGCUCAACCGUGGAGGGUCAUUGGAAACUGGAAAACUUGAGUGCAGAAAGAGGAAAGUGGAAUUCCAUGUGUAGCGGUGAAAUG
rnacentral:rRNA from 1 species